rnacentral:rRNA from 1 species
GUCCACGCCCUAACGAUGUCUACUAGUUGUCGGUUUAAUUAACUUGGUAACGCAGCUAACGCGUGAAGUAUACCGCCUGGGGAGUACGGUCGCAAGAUUAAACUCAAAGGAAUUGACGGGACCCGCACAAGCGGUGGAUGAUGUGGAUUAAUUCGAUGCAACGCGAAACCUUACCUACCCUUGACAUGUACGGAAGCUUGGAGAGAUCUGAGCGUGCUCGAAAGAGAGCCGUAACACAGGUGCUGCAUGGCUGUCGU